rnacentral:rRNA from 1 species
GUGCCAGCAGCCGCGGUAAUACGUAGGUGGCAAGCGUUGUCCGGAUUUACUGGGCGUAAAGCGCGUGUAGGCGGCCCGUUUAGUCUGUCGUGAAAUCUCCCGGCUUAACCGGGAUGGGUCGACGGAUACUGGCGAGCUUGAGGGGAGCAGAGGAAGGUGGAAUUCCCGGUGUAGUGGUGAAAUGCGUAGAUAUCGGGAGGAACACCAGUGGCGAAGGCGGCCUUCUGGGCUCUACCUGACGCUGAGACGCGAAAGCGUGGGGAGCGAACCGGAUUAGAAACCCCAGUAGUCC